CCCUUCAUCAGAAAAGCUUUUCUCCAGCAUCUGCAGUUCCUACUAUCUCUGGAAGAACAACUGCUCACUUUAAUACCUGAGACCUUUCAUGGAGUAAAAUGUUUUUAAAAAGCAAGAGGCACUGGCUUAAAAUGACUGCAGCAAACACUUGACCACAGAUUGAGGAAAGUUCAGAAAACCAAGGAAGAAGAAACAAAAUGAUCAGAACUGAAUUUACUAUUUUACCGACAUUGGAACCAGUCACUGAGCCUUGUGACAAAAAACUGGCAUCUCCUGUUUCAGUGUGUAUGUGGAUGGCCUCCCACUUGCCAGUUGGAGCUGCAGGAACACAACAGGCCAGGCAGCAUCAGAGGAGCAGGAAAGUUUACGUUUUGGGGCAAAAUCCCUCCACACAAACCUGACCUGUUGAAAAGACAUACAUUUGACACUGGAACCAACCCAACAAUAAGGAAGAUUGUCUCCUCGUGACCAAGCCACAAAAAUCAAGAUAAAUCUCACAGGCCAAUGAAAGGCAUAUGAAGCAACUUUUUCACGCAAAGGGUGGUGUGUAUGUGGAAUGAGCUGCCCAGACGACGUGGUGGAGGCUGGCAAAAAUGACAAAGUUUAAAAGGCAUCUGGAUUGGUGUAUGAAUUGGAAGAGUUUAAAGGGAUAUGGGCCGAAUGCUGGUAAAUGGGAUUAGAUUAAUUUAGAAUAGCUUGUUGGCAUGGACAAUUCGGUGGUAGCUUCUGUUACCGUGCUAUACAUCUCUAUGAUUCUGUCACAGUAUAUCGAAUUUAGGGAGAUGAAUUCCUGAUGGGUCUUGUAUAUUCAUAUUUUUUGACAAAUAUCUGUUCUUUCCAGCAAUUGGUGUAAUUAAUAUCUCCAAAUCAUUUUAUGGCUCAGAUCAUUUGAGAAUCGAGAUUCUUCUUGUAAUCAAACACUCAGUACUGACAAUAAAAUUAUUUCCAGAAA